rnacentral:lncRNA from 1 species
AUGGGGAUUAAAAUGCCUUUUUGUCAUGUCUUUUUUGACCUAGACUCAGACCAUCAUUUCUCCAGUAUUACUGGUUACAUUACAUGGGCCUGUUCGGUGGGAGAGGAGACCACACCGAACAUGGGAACCAGGAUGAGAGAAUCAUGGGAGGUCAUCCUGGAGGCUCAGCUGCCAGGGACAGGGUCUCACUAUGUUGCCCAGGCUGAUCUUGAACAUCUGGCUUCAAGGGAUCCUCCAUUCUUGGCCUCUCAGAGCACUGGGAUUACAGGAGAUGAAGCUAUAGUCACUGGAGAAACUGAACCGAGGAUGGAUGAGAGCUCCAACCAGGACACACAAGAGGAUGACCAGCUGAGGUUAAGUGACAUUGAGUGGCUCCAAUCCACAAGGUUGUAUUAG